rnacentral:rRNA from 1 species
GAUGAACGCUAGCGGCAGGCCUAACACAUGCAAGUCGAGGGGCAGCACAGAAACAGCAAUGUUUUGGUGGCGACCGGCGGACGGGUGCGUAGCGCGUAUGCAACCUACCUUUAACAGGGGGAUAACGGAGAGAAAUUUCCACUAAUACCCCAUAACAUCGAUCAAGGCAUCUUGAUUGGUUGAAAACUCCGGUGGUUAAAGAUGGGAAUGCGUUGUAUUAGGUAGUUGGUGAGGUAAUGGCUCACCAAGCCUACGAUACAUAGGGGGACUGAGAGGUUAGCCCCCCACACUGGUACUGAGACACGGACCAGACUCCUACGGGAGGCAGCAGUGAGGAAUAUUGGUCAAUGGGGGCAACCCUGAGCCAGCCAUGCCGCGUGCAGGAAGACGGCUCUAUGAGUUGUAAACUGCUUUUAAACAGGGAUAAAGCACAGUAUGUAUACUGUGUUGAAGGUACUGUAAGAAUAAGGAUCGGCUAACUCCGUGCCAGCCGCCGCCGUAA